rnacentral:rRNA from 1 species
AUUGAACGCUGGCGGCAGGCUUAACACAUGCAAGUCGAGCGGAGAUGAGGUGCUUGCACCUUAUCUUAGCGGCGGACGGGUGAGUAAUGCUUAGGAAUCUGCCUAUUAGUGGGGGACAACAUUCCGAAAGGAAUGCUAAUACCGCAUACGUCCUCCGGGAGAAAGCAGGGGAUCUUCGGACCUUGCGCUAAUAGAUGAGCCUAAGUCGGAUUAGCUAGUUGGUGGGGUAAAGGCCUACCAAGGCGACGAUCUGUAGCGGGUCUGAGAGGAUGGUCCGCCACACUGGGACUGAGACACGGCCCAGACUCCUACGGGAGGCAGCAGUGGGGAAUAUUGGACAAUGGGGGGAACCCUGAUCCAGCCAUGCCGCGUGUGUGAAGAAGGCCUUAUGGUUGUAAAGCACUUUAAGCGAGGAGGAGGCUACUGAGACUAAUACUCUUGGAUAGUGGACGUUACUCGCAGAAUAAGCACCGGCUAACUCUGUGCCAGCCGCCGCGGUAACAC